UUUCCGUAGGUGAACCUGCGGAAGGAUCAUUAAAGAGAUCAUGCCCUCACGGGUAGACCUCCCACCCUUUGUUUACAAUACCUUUGUUGCUUUGGCGGGCCCGUUUGGCCCCGCGCUGAACAACCGGCCCCGGCUGGUCAGUGCCCGCCAGAGAACCGAAAACUCUGAAAUAAAUGUCGUCUGAGUACUAUGUAAUAGUUAAAACUUUCAACAACGGAUCUCUUGGUUCUG
rnacentral:misc_RNA from 1 species